AGGUGUGAUAAUACUAGCAUUAAUGCACAAAAUCCCAUCAGAACUCUGCAGUUAAGUGCACUUGGGCUAGACUAGUGUUGGGAUGAGUGAAUUUUCGAGAAGUCUUAGUGUUGCACCCU
rnacentral:rRNA from 1 species